rnacentral:lncRNA from 1 species
AUAAAUAUAUAUAUACAUAUACAGAUUAAAUUCUAAUUUUCUUGAACCUGUAUAAAUAGAAAAAAUUGACUGUGUUACUAUUAUGCAAAUCUGUAUUUCAUAAACAUAAAUAAUAAUUCUUUAACAAGAUUUGUUUGUGGAAAAAAUGAAGUUUUACGAAUGAAAUGUGACAGAAUUGAACAUUUUCAAUCUUUAAUGUCUGUACUUAAAUUUGCCGUGUUUUAUUUUGGAGAUUGCCCUUGAUAAAUUGCAAACAUUCCAAUUGAUAAAUUGAUUUAUAUUUUUUUUUUAUUAUCAUCAUCAGUAGUUCCUAACGCUUCUUUUGUCAGAAUAAGAUAAUUAUAAUUUUAUAAAAAAAAUAUUUAGUUUUUGGCCUAGAAAUAAUUUACCAAAUGUUUUUUUUUUAUCAUAUUAAUAAGAUUUAGAUUUUAGUUUACAAGAAGUCUGAUAUAAUACUAGGCAAUGUUAUAUCUAUUCAAAGUAGGAAACAAUAAACUAAUUAACUUAAUUCUAGGCCAAAGAUUUAAUUCUAAUAGUAAGUGCAAUUACGCUGGCCAUGGUACAACUCGAUUAAUCAAAAAUCGAGUUUAUAAAUUACAAUUGACCAUCAGUGUUCAGCCACUAGCCAUGGUAAGUGUAGUUGUAAGCAAUACCAAAAAAAAAAAAAAAAACAAAACAAUUUUUAAAAUCUGGGUGCUGUUUUAAAUAAGUGUAUAAUAAUAAUAAUAAAUAAUUAAAUAUAAAUAAAUAAUAACUACAUUGAAAAUAGAAUGGAGAAAAAUUAAAGUGGAAACUUUGUGAAGCCUAGCCUGCA